GCUCAACCGGGGAGGGUCAUUGGAAACUGGGGAACUUGAGUGCAGAAGAGGAGAGUGGAAUUCCACGUGUAGCGGUGAAAUGCGUAGAGAUGUGGAGGAACACCAGUGGCGAAGGCGACUCUCUGGUCUGUAACUGACGCUGAGGCGCGAAAGCGUGGGGAGCGAACAGGAUUAGAUACCCUGGUAGUCCACGCCGUAAACGAUGAGUGCUAAGUGUUAGAGGGUUUCCGCCCUUUAGUGCUGCAGCAAACGCAUUAAGCACUCCGCCUGGGGAGUACGGUCGCAAGACUGAAACUCAAAGGAAUUGACGGGGGCCCGCACAAGCGGUGGAGCAUGUGGUUUAAUUCGAAGCAACGCGAAGAACCUUACCAGGUCUUGACAUCUUCUGACAACCCUAGAGAUAGGGCUUCCCCUUCGGGGGCAGAGUGACAGGUGGUGCAUGGUUGUCGUCAGCUCGUGUCGUGAGAUGUUGGGUUAAGUCCCGCAACGAGCGCAACCCUUGAUCUUAGUUGCCAGCAUUCAGUUGGGCACUCUAAGGUGACUGCCGGUGACAAACCGGAGGAAGGUGGGGAUGACGUCAAAUCAUCAUGCCCCUUAUGACCUGAGCUACACACGUGCUACAAUGGGCAGAACAAAG
rnacentral:rRNA from 1 species